rnacentral:misc_RNA from 1 species
GAUGAAGAACGUAGCGAAAUGCGAUAAGUAAUGUGAAUUGCAGAAUUCAGUGAAUCAUCGAAUCUUUGAACGCACAUUGCGCCCUCUGGUAUUCCGGGGGGCAUGCCUGUUCGAGCGUCAUUAUAACCACUCAAGCUCUCGCUUGGUAUUGGAGUUCGCGAUCUCGCGGCUCCUAAAAUCAGUGGCGGUGCCUGUCGGCUCUACGCGUAGUAAUACUCCUCGCGAUUGAGUCCGGUAGGUUUACCUGCCAGCAACCCCCAAUUUUUACAGGUUGACCUCGGAUCAGGUAGGGAUACGCGCUGAACUUAAGCAUAUCAAUAAGCGAGGA